AGUAACGCGUGGAUAGCCUGCCUCACACUGGGGGAUAACAGUUAGAAAUGACUGCUAAUACCGCAUAAGCGCACAGUACCGCAUGGUACAGUGUGAAAAACUCCGGUGGUGUGAGAUGGAUCCGCGCUGAUUAGCCAGUUGGCGGGGUAACGGCCCACCAAAGCGACGAUCAGUAGCCGACCUGAGAGGGUGACCGGCCACAUUGGGACUGAGACACGGCCCAA
rnacentral:rRNA from 1 species